rnacentral:rRNA from 1 species
CCUACGGGAGGCAGCAGUAGGGAAUUUUCGUCAAUGGGCGCAAGCCUGAACGAGCAAUGCCGCGUGAACGAGGAAGGUCUUCGGAUCGUAAAGUUCUGUUGGAGGGGAAAAAGAGCGGAGAGAGGAAAUGCUUUCUGAUUGAUAUUACCCUUCGAGGAAGUCACGGCUAACGACGUGCCAGCAGCCUCGGUAAUACGUAGGGGGCGAGCGUUAUCCGGAAUGGUUGGGCGAAAGGGGUGCGUAGGCGGCCUGCUAAGUCUGGAGUGAAAGGUACCGGCUCAACCGGUACAGGCUCUGGAAACUGGCGGGCUAGAGAGCAGGAGAGGGCGGUGGAACUCCAUGUGUAGCGGUAAAAUGCGUAGAUAUAUGGAAGAACACCAGUGGCGAAGGCGGCCGCCUGGACUGUUACUGACGCUGAGGCACGAAAGCGUGGGGAGCAAAUAGGAUUAGAUACCCUUGUAGUC